UUUGUGUUGUAUAUGUACUAUAUUUUUUAAUCGAAGUUAUUGAUUGUUUAUCAUUUUUUUGAUUUGCUAUAAUCUUUAUACCAACUCUAAUCGAUUAUUCUUGAAACCCUAACGUUGAUUUAACAUAUAUCUAUUCAUCUAAGAGUGACACAAUUCGAUUUAAUUUUUACCCUAAAUUGUUUUAGGGUUCGGAGUUUUUUUUUUUAUUAAUUUAGUUAAGUUUGUUUCAAAAUAAUCAUCACUGACUCGGUUUUUGGCGUUGGACGUUGGCGAUGGUGGAAAUCCUUUGUUUCAGUAUUUGGUGAUGAUGGGGAGGACAGAUUCGCCACUGCCACCAUUUUGUUGUUCCGUGUUCGUCUUCGAAUCCUUUAGGGUUUCUGGACGACAGUUAACGAUGGCGGCUCUGGUUUCAAUUGCUUUCAUGGCCUUUGGGAUCACAUCUGUGGUAGAUAUUGCAUUAUCAUUCUAGCGCAGUUUGAUCCGUAUGAAACAAACAACGCUCAUGAAUCAGAAGUUGUUUGUCCACGUGAACUGGGGUAUAAGGUUACCAAUUACAGUGCAAGGAGCUUCUACAAGGGUUGCAUUUGUUUAGGGGUAUAAGGUUACCAAUUAGAGUGCAAGGAGCUUCUACAAUGGUUCUCUCUUUAUCGUCUUCAGAUAUGAAAGCAACAAAAAUAAUCAUCCCUGACUCGGUUUUUGGCUUUGGACGUUGGCGAUGGUGGAAAUCCUUUGUUUCAGUAUUUGAUGAUGAUGGGGAGGACAGACUCGCCGCUGCCACCAUUUUGUUGUUCCGUGUUCAUCUUCGAACCCUUUAGGGUUUCUGGACGGCAGUUAACGAUGGCGGCUCUGGUUUCAAUUGGUUGGAGCUAAAUCUCAUAAUAUCGCAUACCUUAAAGGAAAAGUCCCCUCAUGGGUUGUCAUUCCUACUUCCGUCGCAUUACCUUUUGGAAGUUUUGAGAAAGUUCUUUCCGAUGAAUUUAGUCAGGUGUGUCUUGAAAGUUACAAAUAUUGAAGGAAAAGUUAGAAGUGUGAGAGUUUGAUGCCCUUGAGGAGAUCCGCAAGACGGUGUUGGAGAUUGUUGCACCGCCCCAGCUGGUACAAGAGCUAAAAGAGAAAAUGCAAAGCUCUGGUAUGCCAUGGCCUGGGGAUGAAGGUCGGCAUAGAUGGGAACAAGCAUGGAUUGCUUUAAAGUUCAUGAAUUUUUUUGUACUUUUGAGUUUAUCGAAAGAAGUUUUCCACUUUGUUUAUAAUGAUAACUGAAUUACACUUCCUCCAGCAAUACGGUUUUUUUUUCACUUCACUUACACAUGUUAAAAUAGACGAGGGAUGGAUAUGGGUGUCAUUUUUUCAGGUUUGGGCUUCAAAACAGAACGAGAGAGCGUACUUUAGUACAAGAAAAGUGAAGCUAGAUCAUGACCUUUAUGCAUGGUUGUCCUGGUUCAGGAAAUAAUAAAUGCUGACUAUGCAUUUAUUAUUCAUACCACAAAUCCAUCUUCAGGAGAUCCAUCAGAGAUAUACGCCGAGGUUGUAAAGGGACUUGGGGAGACUUUGGUCGGAGCUUAUCUAGGUCGGGCUUUAAGUUUCAUUUCCAAGAAAGACAAGCUCGACUCUCCUAAGAAAGGCCCAGAGGAUUCAGAGGCGGUGAAGCUAAAACCAACAUUUGCUGAUGCGUAUUUGAAUUUGGCGAAUGUAUACAAGGGAAUCUAGCUAGCAUAUAUUACGAGCAAGGUAACUUGGACAUAGCGACGUUAAUUUCAAUGGCGAGACAUAUGAGAGCCCAAACUAAUGCACGACGUUGAGACAUGUGGAGCAUUCGGCGGCGGAGGUGGCUCUGAAUGCGCUCGCGAGCCGUGGUCCGUCGAAUUCGUUAGCGGCAAGAAUUUUGUGACAGCUUAGCAUCUGGUUGAAGGUGGGUGUUCCACCAGACUCUCAUUUCGUAGCGGACAAGUUAAAGUUCUUUCAUGAUCAACCAAGUUCGAAGCGCUGGUAGAAGGUAGUUGAUAGAUUCAACCAUCAAUUGCAACAAUGCUACCCAUGGAUGGAUUCCAACCUUCAACUACAACAGAUUAAGACCAUGGAUGAUUCAUAUCUUCAGUUGCAACCAUCAAAGCUAUAUGCCUCAGCCUUAUUUUUGGAGGGAAUGCAUCACAUUCAGUUAACUAAUCUAUGUGGGAUCCAUUUUAUUUUUGGGUCAUACCAAACCCGUGAGAUCGGAUCUCUACAAAAAGACAUAACUCAAUAAUCUCUCUUUCCUAUUCUCUCUAAACCCUAACCGAGUCGCUUCAUCGCCUUCCUCAUCCUUCUGAUCAUCGCCGUCUCUACCACCUCUUCUAGGGUUCAAGCUUUCUUUCUCCAUAAAUCAUUGACUUCAAAAGUGAAUAUCGAUGUGUGGCAUACCAGGUGUUUGAUGAAAUGUCUAUAAGAGAUUAAAUCAGUGGAUGCACAAGAAUCAUUGAGAGGUGAAGAUUGCAUGAACAAUGCCGGCGACAGUGAAGAAUUACUAUUGCUUUGAUUUUAGCUUGCUCAAUGAUGCAAUUGAUAAAGAAGGUUCUAAUUCUCAAUGGGUUCCCCUUAAAUGUUUCUCAUCUAAGGAUUCAGUUAUGCUUGGAGGCAAUAAGUUAGUGGAUAAAGCUCUUAUCGGGUACUUAGUGACAGUGGCGGAAUUUAACCAAAAGUUUUGAGGGGGCGUAAAGUCAUGGGACCCAAUUUUUUUUACUAUCGUUAUGUUUCGGCUCAGGCCGGCUAUUCGAUUCGGGUCACUUGCCUACGAGUACAAAUCCGGCAAGACGAAGUGUCAGUAUUGGGUAUAUUAUGUGCGGCUUUUGUGGAGCCUAUGAGGAGUCUCCAGAACAUCUUUUAGUAUCAUGUGGGAUGACGCAAACUAUCUGGGACUUUAUUAAUACAUGGUUCAGGCUUUAUGGCUUCUUUUUCUUUGGAUUCGAGGACCCGUUGAAGUUUUAUAAGCAAGCGAGAGGCUCUGUGAAGUGGAGAAAGGUUGUCUACUCCAUUAUUCUAACGGUCGUGUGGUGCAUUUGGCAAAGUCAAAACAAUGUUAUCUUCAACUGUAAACAACCUAAUGUGGAGAGUUUAAAGUAGGAAAUUAGAGUUUUGGUGUACCUAUGGGUUAAACAUCAGUCAAAAGCCGUUGGAUUAUCAUGGGAAAUCUGGCGAAAUUUUGUGUUAAUUUUUUGGGUCUAUGAUGUAGUUUGUUGUCUGGUUGUUUUUGGAUGUGGAUUAAUA